rnacentral:rRNA from 1 species
GAAGCUGCGGCAGCGACACUGUGUGUUGUUGGGUAGGGGAGCGUUCUGUAAGCCUGUGAAGGUGUGUCGUGAGGCAUGCUGGAGGUAUCAGAAGUGCGAAUGCUGACAUAAGUAACGAUAAAGCGGGUGAAAAGCCCGCUCGCCGGAAGACCAAGGGUUCCUGUCCAACGUUAAUCGGGGCAGGGUGAGUCGACCCCUAAGGCGAGGCCGAAAGGCGUAGUCGAUGGGAAACGGGUUAAUAUUCCCGUACUUGGUGUUACUGCGAAGGGGGGACGGAGAAGGCUAUGUUGGCCGGGCGACGGUUGUCCCGGUUUAAGCGUGUAGGUGUGUGUUCCAGGUAAAUCCGGUUCACUUUAACACUGAGGCGUGACGACGAGGCACUACGGUGCUGAAGCAACAAAUGCCCUGCUUCCAGGAAAAGCCUCUAAGCAUCAGGUAACAUCAAAUCGUACCCCAAACCGACACAGGUGGUCAGGUAGAGAAUACCAAGGCGCUUGAGAGAACUCGGGUGAAGGAACUAGGCAAAAUGGUGCCGUAACUUCGGGAGAAGGCACGCUGACACGUAGGUGAAGUGAUUUACUCAUGGAGCUGAAGUCAGUCGAAGAUACCAGCUGGCUGCAACUGUUUAUUAAAAACACAGCACUGUGCAAACACGAAAGUGGACGUAUACGGUGUGACGCCUGCCCGGUGCCGGAAGGUUAAUUGAUGGGGUCAGCGCAAGCGAAGCUCCUGAUCGAAGCCCCGGUAAACGGCGGCCGUAACUAUAACGGUCCUAAGGUAGCGAAAUUCCUUGUCGGGUAAGUUCCGACCUGCACGAAUGGCGUAAUGAUGGCCAGGCUGUCUCCACCCGAGACUCAGUGAAAUUGAACUCGCUGUGAAGAUGCAGUGUACCCGCGGCAAGACGGAAAGACCCCGUGAACCUUUACUAUAGCUUGACACUGAACAUUGAGCCUUGAUGUGUAGGAUAGGUGGGAGGCUUUGAAGUGUGGACGCCAGUCUGCAUGGAGCCGACCUUGAAAUACCACCCUUUAAUGUUUGAUGUUCUAACGUGGACCCGUUACCCGGGUUGCGGACAGUGUCUGGUGGGUAGUUUGACUGGGGCGGUCUCCUCCUAAAGAGUAACGGAGGAGCACGAAGGUUGGCUAAUCCUGGUCGGACAUCAGGAGGUUAGUGCAAUGGCAUAAGCCAGCUUGACUGCGAGCGUGACGGCGCGAGCAGGUGCGAAAGCAGGUCAUAGUGAUCCGGUGGUUCUGAAUGGAAGGGCCAUCGCUCAACGGAUAAAAGGUACUCCGGGGAUAACAGGCUGAUACCGCCCAAGAGUUCAUAUCGACGGCGGUGUUUGGCACCUCGAUGUCGGCUCAUCACAUCCUGGGGCUGAAGUAGGUCCCAAGGGUAUGGCUGUUCGCCAUUUAAAGUGGUACGCGAGCUGGGUUUAGAACGUCGUGAGACAGUUCGGUCCCUAUCUGCCGUGGGCGCUGGAGAACUGAGGGGGGCUGCUCCUAGUACGAGAGGACCGGAGUGGACGCAUCACUGGUGUUCGGGUUGUCAUGCCAAUGGCACUGCCCGGUAGCUAAAUGCGGAAGAGAUAAGUGCUGAAAGCAUCUAAGCACGAAACUUGCCCCGA